UACGUAGGGUGCAAGCGUUGUCCGGAAUUAUUGGGCGUAAAGAGCUCGUAGGCGGUCUGUUGCGUCGGCUGUGAAAACCCGGGGCUCAACCCCGGGCCUGCAGCCGAUACGGGCAGACUAGAGUUCGGCAGGGGAGACUGGAAUUCCUGGUGUAGCGGUGAAAUGCGCAGAUAUCGGGAAGAACACCCGUGGCGAAGGCGGUUCUCUGGGACGGUACUGACGCUGAGACGCGAAAGCGUGGGGAGCGAACAGG
rnacentral:rRNA from 1 species